rnacentral:lncRNA from 7 species
UCCAUCUGAUCCGUAAUGCGAUUUCCAGCCUGGUGAUCCUACGCUCCUGCCUGAAAUGACGCUGGUGCUUGUAGGAGGUGUUUUUCCCUGGACUGUGAGACUAGUGAGAUGCUGAAGCUGAACACGGAGCAGAUUUGCGGCUGAUUGCCCUGAUUGGAGCCUGGGAUGCGCUGUGUCCAAGCCAAGCAUCUGAGGGGUGCCAGCUCCAUUGCUGCCAGGGCUGGGAAAAGCACGGCCGUGCGUGGGGCUCCCUGUGGCCUCCUCAGUGGGACAGCCUUUCACUGCUGACACGUGUCUCAGAGAAUCUGAAUCACAGUCAUCAGUGCAGUAAGACCAUCGUCACUGCAUUCGGUACUUGGAAAGAAAUGGGUUAAGAGAUAAAACCUGCAAUUAUGGAAUCACAAAACAGCCCGAGUUAGAUGGGAUCUUGAAAGAUCAUCAGCUCCAUGCUUUCACAGGAAAUGGGAGCAUCACUAAGAUUACCUAGCACCCUCUUCUAUUGCACCUUGAUACCACAUGCUUCCCUCUCUCAUCUCAUGGCUUUUAUUUAGUAAAAACCUCUGUUUGGUAUUAUGUUAACUAUUAUAUGCCUCUUUCCUUGCAAGGGUUGUUUAGUGGGGUUGUGCAUGGAACUUCUCUCUUAGGAGAGAUCCAUACCCACGCUUGAGAGGUGGGGGGACCCAAAAGUCACCAUCAUAGAGUUAAAAUGGGCCAGAGCCAUCUUGCUCAAGUGUGACGUUACUCUUCCUUUUAAACUGGGACUUACUGUCUUCAUUUAAUUAAAUUUUUACCCAAGUCACCUUAAUCUUUUCAAAAACCUUUGAUAGGAUACCAAAUAGACAGAUGAUUGGAACAAUUACCUUCUCAUCUAGGGGGACUGUUGUGGCCUUCUUGCUGUAGGUAUUCUAGACAGUACUGUCCUUGAACAAAUGAAAUAAUUUAGAUCUUGUUACCUUUUAUUUGUUGUCUGCCCUGUUUACCUAAUCCUCAUCUUGUUAGUGUUGUCUUUAUAAUGAAUAAACAGCGAUGUUCUUGUUUUGUAUUACAUUUUUCUCUUAAAAUUCUGUGGCACUAUGUACCUGUAUGCUCAUGUGCAAUCUUCUACACUGAAGUUAUCUGUUGAUAUCCCUGCCAGAAUAAUCACGAUGACUGCAGAGGUGGGAAACACAUUAUUUGCUGAAUUCUUUCCUGUCACAAUCUCUGAAACGGUCUCCUGCAGCAGAGAAUGAAAAUAAAUCUGAAAUGUCUUGGAGUGGCACUGCCAGCCUAGUGAGUAGCAUCACUAGAAAAAGCUUUGCAGAGCUGUAUUACCCAACAGACAAAGAGUGAGGGAGUUUUGAGGAAGAAAUACCACUUCUGUUUUCUUACAUCAGCAUUGAAGUCCACUGGCGGAGCAGUAUGUGGGGGGAAAAACAUGCUGAUAAUGUCACUGCUACAUACAGGAAAUGGGGCAUACUGUGAUGCGAUGGCAACCACCAGCAGUGCUCUCUAGCACUGACUUGAUGCACAUAGAUGCUUGUAUCCAGCCCCCUCCUCUUGGACAACUGGCAUCAUCUUAAGACUUCUUAUCUUUGUAAAAAAAAAAAAAAAAAAAAAAAAAAGUAGCUUGACAAACCAUUCAAACACUGCCUCUUCCCUGCCUUUGUACUUGUUUAUUCCCUCCUCAUUGUGUUUUUAGCUAAAGCAGAUUAUUGCAAAAUCCAUUUAAAAAACAGAGUAGUUUUAUACUGAAAGAUAUCUAGAGGGCAGCAAAUCCAGAGGGAAAUCUCAUCCUUCAGUGCAAACAAAACCUCCUAUUCUAUUUUAUUUCUGAAAAAAUCAAGCACAGUUAUGUAAAACCUUUUAUUUCUCUAUACGAAACAGCAAUCGUAAGAUAUCUCUAUAUGGCUGAGCUAUGAACAUACCUAGGAGCAAACUUGUAAUUUGAUUAAUGAUUACUGUGGUGGGCAAGGACUCUGAAGUUCAGGUGUGAGUUACAAAGAAACUGCUCUGCCGUCUAAAAUCGCAUCUGAAAGCAAAUGUAUUUUUAGCGUACUGCUGUGUGGUGUGGAAUGUUCCUGAGUUAUUGGUUCAUAAUUGUAGUGAUUGUGGAGAAUGUAUUUAAUAAUAAUUUGACAUUUAAU